CAGGUGUGUCAGUAUAUUUUUCUGAAACCAUUCAGGUGUAUCUAUAUAUUUUUCUGAAACGAAAGAAAACAUUCUUUAAAUAAUAACAAACUCUAAAUAACAUUGAAACGAAUCAGAAUGAAUCGGAUUGAAAUUGCUGUAGCCUCGCCAGAAAGGCAACGCAUCGAUUUUGUUAUAUCGAAAAAUAUGCCACUCUAUAAGGUAAUGCAAGCUUACGCGGAUUAUUAUGGGAUCAAUCGUAGCACCUUAGAGUUCCGUUUACGGGGCCUAAGGGUUCGGAAUACUGAUACUGCCCGUCUUUUAAAUAUGCGUGCAAAGGAUAUUAUAACAGUUCAAAAUGUUCCGCAACAGGGACACUAAAUAAAUAAAUGAUAACUCUCUACAAGAAUUUAUGUUAAUUAAUAUUGGAAGCCAACAAAUCAGACUUUACAAGUUUGAAAUGAAGAUCCCUUUACUGGAAAUACCUUUCCAUCACAUAUCUCUCUCAUAAGGACACUGCUUGGGAUGCGUUUAAUUCAAGCAGAUGACUUCCUGCUCAAGAGCUGCAAAAAUAUAUUAUUACAAACAUUAUACAGUACAUUAUAUACAUUAUAUAAAUUUGUUGAAUAAAAAAUUCUCCCAAGAGAAAAACACA